rnacentral:ncRNA from 20 species
AAAAUUUAAAAGGGGAGCUUUUGCUGAGAGGAAUGAUUUCGACCCUUAGACCCAUUGGAUAAUGCCAGUGUUGGAAUUUUUUGUCUCACACUA